AGGCGUACACCUCACAAGAGGACAGCAGUCAUCUCCCUCCCAGUCCACCCAGUCUGUGGGGCUUCUGGCACCUGUUCCAGUUGGUUUUUGUUGGCAGGAACCUGUAGAGUUAAACCAUCUCAACAGACAGAUUUCCAGUCUUCCACUUAACCAGUGAAGGUUUGAAAUUUUGGCAUGUCAUUGCUGCAGUUUCUGCAGCCCCAUCUCAGCAAAUGACAGCCCCUCAGGUGGAGGCCAUGAGCAUCCCUAGCCUGGGUUCAGCUCCAGAAAGCAUCCAAGUCAUGAUUUUGGCAAUCCUUGAGAAGUGCAGCUGUCAGGAAGUCUCUGGCUACAAAAUCCCCAGUGAGCUAAAAUCCAGGCCAGGCUGUUGUCCCAGGUUUGAAAGCCGUGCAGACCUCUGCGAAGAGCCACAUGCCUCAACAAAGAAAGCAUAAGGACUCCAUCCUCUGAAAUGCGAGUACACAAUGAAUCAUUUUAAUGAAACAAAAGACAUUCAUUUUCAAAAAAUUAUACAGAAGCAACACAGUGGAAAAUUUUAUUAGGAAAAAGAUGAUGUGCAUCAAGCUUCAGUCCCAUGUCAUUAUGACAGCAAAAUAAUUUACUGGUAUGGUAACUUUAUGCAUAUAUGUAUCUAGUGUAAAUAUGUGCGUACAAGAACAUGAAUCAGUGAAGUAGAGAUUUUUUUAGAUACAUAUACAUACCUCCACACAUCUAUACAUAUCCAAAAUGGUAACGGUGUACAUUACUCUAGAGAUGUGACAGAUUUUAUUCCCAAAAUAGCUUUGUCAGGGAUGAGUGCUACUCAACCAGUCGGGGUUAGGGGCAUACAAAAGCAACGCCGAUCACUUGGGUCUACAGCUGGGAUGAAAAAUCUGUUUGCUUGCCUACAGGUGAAAAAUACAAAGUAUGCUAAAAGCUGGUUGGUUGCAUUUACUGAGCCACGGGCACCACAAUCUAUUUUAAUGAACAUUUCCAGUGAAAUCUCUGUAUUUACUGGCUUUGACAGAUGAAGAAUAUUGCACAAGCUAUUGUGUGCCUGUGCAU
ensembl:lncRNA